AUGAAUCCGCGUCAAAAGGCUAUCGACCAAUCAGCUCUCAGAAUUCUGGAUAUGAACUACUUCACCCUUACUAUAUAUGGUCUUCUCAAUUUCAUCAACAAAUUCAUACCUGCAAAAAAGAAAAAGAAAUCCCAGUAAUUUCUACAGAUAUAGAUCUGUUUUUCCCCAUUUCCAAUUCUCUUAUAAACCCUAACCCGAAUCCGAUUUUGUGCUAAGAGAUGGCGACUGAAGAACCACUUGUAGUAACCGAGAUUGUAACUGAAGCGGUGGUGGUGGAAGCUGAGCCGGCCAAG
rnacentral:lncRNA from 1 species